ensembl:lncRNA novel transcript
CCUCUUGCCUUCCACCUGCUGCUAUAUGAGGACACAGCAGCAAGGUGCCAUCUUGGAAGCAGAGAACAGCCCUCGCCAGACACCAAAAUUGGUGGCUUCAGAACCGAAUGGUCACACUGUUUUCCAAAGUGACUGCACCAUUUCAUAUUUCUACCAGCAACAUCAUCAUCUUCCUUUUACAGAUGAAGAAACUCAUAUCAUGGAAAAGCAUGGAUGAAAUCCUCUGACCACCCUACAUUUAAAGGACCUUUAAAGAGAAAGAACUGACAGUGUAAGUGGAAAAAGAGCAACUGGAAGUAGCAGGAGAAGGAAAAACCAUUAUCAUACAACUGGUGGGAAGAAGGAAUGUCAAAAACAUCAGUGUGAAAAUAAUUGCAGUAAAACGGUAAAUCCCAGUAA